rnacentral:rRNA from 1 species
GAUGAACGCUAGCUACAGGCUUAACACAUGCAAGUCGAGGGGAAACGAUGAGAGAGCUUGCUCUCUUAGUCGUCGACCGGCGCACGGGUGAGUAACGCGUAUCCAACCUGCCUCUGACCAAGGGAUAACCCGUCGAAAGUCGGACUAAUACCUUAUGCAGUCGUCGGAAGUCAUCUGAUGACGACGAAAGAUUUCAUCGGUGAGAGAUGGGGAUGCGUCUGAUUAGCUUGUUGGCGGGGUAACGGCCCACCAAGGCGACGAUCAGUAGGGGUUCUGAGAGGAAGGUCCCCCACAUUGGAACUGAGACACGGUCCAAACUCCUACGGGAGGCAGCAGUGAGGAAUAUUGGUCAAUGGGCGUAAGCCUGAACCAGCCAAGUAGCGUGCAGGAGGACGGCCCUAUGGGUUGUAAACUGCUUUUAUGCGGGGAUAAAGUGAGGGACGUGUCCUUCAUUGCAGGUACCGCAUGAAUAAGGACCGGCUAAUUCCGUG